GACGAACGCUGGCGGCGUGCUUAACACAUGCAAGUCGAACGGAAAGGCCCUGCUUUUGGGGUGUGCUCGAGUGGAGAACGGGUGAGUAACACGGGAGUAACCUGCCCUUGACUUUGGGAUAGCUUCGGGAAACUGGGGCUAAUACCGGAUGGGAACUCCGGCUGCAUUGUGGGGGUUGGAAAGUUUUGGCGGUUGGGGAUGGACUCGCGGCUUAUCGGCUUGUUGGUGGGGUUGUGGAUUAACAAGGCUUUGAGGGGUAGCCGGUCUGAGGGGGUGAACGGCCACAUGGCGGCGGUGAUACGCCGCAGACUACUAGGGGCGGCAGCGGUGGGGAAUGCUGCACAAUGGGCGGAAGCCUGAUGCAGCACCGCCGCGUGCGGGAUGACGGCCGUGGGGUUGUCACCCGCUUUCGCCUGUGACGAAGCGGUAGUGACGGUAAUGGGUAAAGAAGCACCGGCUAACUACGUG
rnacentral:rRNA from 1 species